GCCGGGAUGGCGGAAUUGGCAGACGCACUGGACUCAAAAUCCAGCGGGACUCAAUCUCGUGAGGGUUCGACUCCCUCUCCCGGCA
rnacentral:tRNA from 1 species